AUAGGAUCCCCUUAGGGAGCGCCUCAGGCCGCCUCAGACCCCCCUCGGAGUGCAGAGUAGAUUUGGGGUGAGGUCUCCCUCCCUCCAUCACACACACACACACGUACUAACAGCUGUUGUUCCCUUAGCCCUCCUUCACUUCGUGUCUAAUGCCGUGGGGGUGGGACACAGGACAGGGAGGGCUCUGGGCAUGGAGCCAGGUGACUGGCCGCCCGCAAGGGGUAGGCCGUCUCCGGGCAGAGCGAUGCCCUGUGAGUGCCGCGGGCCUCGUGUCUGCGAGCACGGGGACGGAGCUGCCGCGGAAGAGGUCGGGGAGGGGGGCACCGAACCCCCUCCCCCUGCAGACACAGUCCUCGACAGCCACUCGGGCAGCUUCCUGGCAGCCCCUGUUCCCAGCCCCUGUUUCCUCCUCCUGGCCCUGAGACUGCUCCUGCUACCUUAUCUUGGUGGGCACCAGAGACUGCACCGGCUGCCCUGGACCCGGACGCUCCUGUGAUCUUCGUGGGCCCCACAGCAGACUGUACCAGCUGGUCCGGACACUACACCGGCCUUCGUGGGCACCAGAGACUGCACCUGCUGGCCCAGACAUCCCACUGACCCUUGUGGGGACCAGAGUUUGCAUCUUCUACCCUGGCCACAGACACCCGCCGUGCCCCCUCUGAGGUGCCAGGAGCACGCGGACCGCCCUGACUCCCUUUCUCGAGCAGAAGUGACCCGAGGCUCUGGGCUCCCAGCAGGACGAAGGGCCUCGUCACUCUCGGCCUGAGCCACCUGCCCUGUCCGCUCUCGGCACUGAGGCUCCAAGGGUGGGGGGGCUUCUCCCCUAAUCACACUAACGUCUGAGUAGCGAGGGACUUGGCAGCGCCCCUCCUUAGCAGCCCCGCCGCCUCCCGGUCCGUAGAAUCUCUGUGCGUGGAGAGCGCGGGGAGUGAUUAAACCGCUGACCGUGUGAGAGUCCCCGACCGGAGCCUGGCUCUGUGCACUGUGUCACCCCCUCGUCUCCAGGGUCCUACUCCAGCCCCACAGACUCGCCCCCUCUUCAUUACCCCCCCACAACUAGCCGCUUUCCCCUCGCUCCCCACAUCUCGUGCCCCUGCCCCCCGGCCUAGCCAGACAUCACCCUUCUUGUCCCUAAAGAAGAGAAGGAGGCUGGCGGGGGGUAUGACCUCACUCUGGCCUAAAGACCCCCAGAUCAGGGACGUUGGAAAAACUUUCACCAUUCCCCUCCACCCCGGGAAAGGAGGGAGGAGAGACCAGCCAGGGCUGUGAGAAAGAUCCUGUCGGGAGCAGACAGGGAGCAUCCUGGGACCCCCACUCUUCCCACAGUGUACAAGGGUGCCGCAAUUUUCCGGGAAUUGGAGUAUCGAUUCAUUCAGAGAAAGGCUGGGAGGUGGAAGGCAGCACACCGGCUGCACCCAGGGUCCAGUCCUACACUGGCCAUCACACCUCCGGACCCCGGCCGGUCGCCGUACCGGAGCCCUGCGGCACCCGGGGGACGUUCUUACCCCGAGGGCCCCCGAGAGUCAGAAAGUAGCUCUUCUCCCUGUGUGAAAUGAGACUCUGAACCCCCUGGAAAUUCCGGGAAAUGAG
rnacentral:lncRNA from 1 species